UACGUAGGGGGCAAGCGUUGUCCGGAUUUAUUGGGCGUAAAGAGCGUGUAGGCGGCCAGGUAGGUCUGGUGUGAAAACUCGAGGCUCAACCUCGAGAGGUCAUCGGAAACCAUCUGGCUAGAGUCCGGAAGAGGAGAGUGGAAUUCCCGGUGUAGCGGUGAAAUGCGCAGAUAUCAGGAGGAACACCGAUGGCGAAGGCAGGUCUCUGGGCCACUACUGACGCUGAGAAGCGAAAGCAUGGGGAGCGAACAGG
rnacentral:rRNA from 1 species